rnacentral:lncRNA from 1 species
UCUCAGCAAAGGACUGCCAACAGACAGUGAAAUGAGAAAGAACGGCCCUCUGGGCUGCGUCGGCACUGAAGUUUUAAAGAAGGAAGAAAAGAAAUUGAGGCUGUGAGUGGAAGUUUUAGCAGGAGUCGAACAACUAUCUGUUAUCUGUCACUCUCAUUUAGGCACCUAGGAGGAUUCCUUGCGUGGUGAAAGGCCGGUUUACAGCUAGCAUGUGGGCCUACCUUACCAAGAACGGCACCGUCCACAGUGAGCUGGGCUCUCUCAUAUCAGUCAUCAAUCAAGCAAAUGUCCCACUGACAAGCCCACAGGCCAAUCGGAUGGAGGCCGACCCUUGUUACAGGUUUCCUCUUUCCAGGACCUGACUCUAGAUUGCUGGCCGUUCUGUGGGACACGAAAAGGCCGAACAAGUGUGGAGUAGACGCCAAAGAUGGGUCUGAAUGAGAAACACCACGUAGAGCUGGAACAUUGGGAAGCUUUGACAGAAAAUCUUGCCCCCUUCACCAAGCUUUUGUGUGUUUCUCCUAACUGUGAUUGCCUCAGGAGAGCCUAGUCUCCCAUGAGACGCUUGCCUGCUGCCGUGCACUUCCUUGAACUGGAGUCUGCAGUGUCCCUGGCCUCCGGGAUUUCACCCUUUGUCCUUCUCAGUAUAAUCCAGGAAUCUGCACUAUUGUGCAGGCAUUUGUCUGUUUACUUUAAUGAAGGCGACCAGGUUUGUAAUUGUCUAUUAAAUGGUCUAUUAAAUAGUGUCAUAGCU